UACCACUGGGAACAAAGGAGAGCGUCGCUCAAUGUACAAAGUCCUUGGUGAAGCACUCGCCGCGAAAUACCCAAUGAUGUUGUGGGAUGAGCCUGAAGAGCACCUUUUGGCUACGAGGACCCAUGUUUAUAGCCUAUUCAUCAAGAGGUUGACUGUGGCUCGAAAGGUGCGGAAUCACAGAAAAUCGAAAAGAGCGCAUGUCACUGUUCUUUCACCCACCACUGAGAUCACAAAGGAGAAUGCUGUUGCCGAGCUACAGGCCUUAAAAGCGACCCAUUUGAGCGCCGUGACGCUUGACACAGAAAGGAUGCAGGCCCUCCUUAAAGUGACGUACGAAGAAUGCUGCUAAAGCCAUGAUGAUCCACUGCCCUAGUAUUUCUUGCUAGAAGAAAUUAUGGCUCUACCGGAUGACGUGCAAAUCGCUGCACCCCAUGUGUAUACCUGUCCUGAACACACUUGCGUUUACGCUGGAAGCGCUGAGCAAAUAAUCCGGAUGGCUAAUAGAAAUAUAGAGCGGGCCCUCAUUUUUUGCCUGCUGACAUAUUACAUCAAAAAUCUUGAG
rnacentral:lncRNA from 1 species